AUGGGAACGCGAAGAACCUUACCUAGACUUGACAUCUUCUGCAUUAAUCGUAAUGGAUGAAAUCCCUUCGGGGACAGAAUGACAGGUGGUGCAUGGUUGUCGUCAGCUCGUGUCGUGAGAUGUUGGGUUAAGUCCCGCAACGAGCGCAACCCCUAUUAUUAGUUGUCUACCACUUAAGUUAGAGCACUCUAGUGAGACUGCCCGGGUUAACCCGGGUAGGAAGGCGGGGAGUGACGUCAAAUACAUCAUGCCCCUUACUGUCUAGGGCAACACACGUGCUACAAUGGUGAGUACAGAUAGAUGCGAUACCGCAAGGUGGAGCCAAACUCUAAAACUACAUCCCAGUUCGGAUUGUAGGCUGCAACUCGCCUACAUGAAGUUGGAGUUGCUAGUAAUCGCGAAUCAGAAUGUCGCGGUGAAUACGUUCCCGGGUCUUGUACACACCG
rnacentral:rRNA from 1 species